AACGAACGCUGGCGGCAUGCCUAAUACAUGCAAGUCGAGCGGAUGAAUCGAAAUCUUGCUUGUGAUCCGUUACCGACGGACGGGUGAUUAACACGUAGGUACCCUGUACUGUAGGCGAACGUCACACAAAGAACUCUGAUAUCGCACCCGAUAAGACGAAGUGUCUCAUGACGUUUCGUUGAUCGACGGCGCAGGUGGUCGCUACAGGAUGUACCCGCGCCGCAUUAGCUAGUUGGUGAGGUAACGGCUCACGAAGGCGACGAUGCGUAACCGAUCUGAGAGGGUGAUCCGCCACACUGGGACUGAGACACGGCCCAGACUCCUACGGGAGGCAGCAGUAAGGAAUCUUCCGCAAUGGACGAAAGUCUGACGGAGCAACGCCGCGUGAGCGAAGAAGGCCUUCGGGUCGUAAAGCUCUGUUGUUAGGGAAGAACAAGUAACGCAGUAACUGGCGUUAUCGUGACGGUACCUAACGAGAAAGCCACGGCUAACUACGUG
rnacentral:rRNA from 1 species